GCCAGUUGCAAUAGCAUAUUGAAAACAGUAGUUCCCAAGGAAUCACUAAAGUUAAACUAUGUUGUACAUGGUUGGUAUCAGGGAUGGGUGACCACCUGGUCAAUCUUAAGUUGCUGUCU
rnacentral:rRNA from 1 species